GAUUGUAUCACAAUGGAAAUACAGCCAAGGACAACAUGAGUCAUCUCAUACAUAGCGGGAAGAAAGGUGCAAACAGUGCCAAUAAGUUAAGGUAUUGUAAUAAUGUGUACUAGAAUAGAACCUUGGAAUGUUUUAAAGUUAUUGAAGAUGGAGAGCAACAAUCAGUAUGCACGACAUCUUUCUCAAAUGGCUACUAGUUUUCUACAAUCUGUUUCAUCAGGUAUUCGAUCAUUGAUGAUAUUCAAAUCGGAGUCAAUGUUUAAUACAAGUUGGAUUAUGUAAAGCUAUAGUAUAGGAAUAUCAUUAUCGUGCCUUUAUUUUUCCUCAAAGAACACUGUGAGGUUGUAAGGUGGUAGGUACUUCGCACAUUUUAUUGAAUUUUAAUGGUUAUUCAUUUGAUCAUGUAGGUGGACUGAAUCAUCCUCUGUCCUUUUUUAUCAAAUAUAUUUUAAGCAAAUUCUGUGAUAUGCUGGGUAUAAUAUCAGGUGUUGUAA